ACAGUCCUUAUGUAUAGCUGAAGAUUCCGUUGGAGGAUCGAGUUUUCGUCUGGAUGAUUUGGUCUGUAUGUUGUGGUGCUGGUGUCGAUUUGGAGUUUUGGAUAUAUCCAUUCCUGGGAAUUUGUCGGAUCGUAUAAAUGCUCAGAUAGAGAGGAAUCUUCAUAUUCUCGUCAUGAAUGGUGAGUGUUUAAACCAUGAGUGACGUCAUCAACUGUAGUUACGUAGAUCAGAAUAGUGUUUAUCAUGAUAAUUGGUGCCAAGGGGAGACAAACCAUUGUUGUAUAUCUGGCUGGCAACGCAUCUGUUCAACUGAGACGUGUGAACAUAAGAACCCAAUCACGGAUGUUUCUAGUUACGUAUUUUGGUUAAUUUUGGCGGGUAUUGCAGCGUUUGGUAUUAUUGUACUCAGUGUCACGUAUCUUGUGUGCAAGUACCGAGUCCCGCGAGAAGAUGCCGAAAGCGAAAACCAAAAUGAUCUAUUUGAAGAGACGAUAUGUGAAACUAAAUUUAAAAAGAUAACAAAACGAGGCAAACCGGAAGUAACGGAGAGUGAGCUAUCCAGCUUUUUAAUGCGAACUGAAACAAAAGCGAAAGUAGCAACAGCACAAAAAUCAACCAUCCCAGUUCGACCACUGGAUGUUCGAGAUCGUGAUUCACCCCCUGCGUUCACUCAUACGAGUGGUUUAUCACCUAGAUAUAGUUCUCACGACAGAAGAACACCGCGUGCUGUGAAUUUGGGAUUUUUACCGGAUGUUGGGUGAGCAGCAGACCGGUGUAGAUUAGAUUACCCUAAUAACUUUAUAUAAUAAUCAGAAUAUGUUGCCUUUCAAACCGAAAUACGAAACUCUGAUACUGAACAUGGAAACUAACUGUAAAUACGAAAUGUGGUGGACAACAAAUAUAUAUAACUAUGCACUAGUGCCGGGCAUUUCUUUUUGUCAAUAUUGCUCAAAGUAUUACAAAAAAUGAUGUGUAGAAUGUUUAUUUUCAUAACAUAUACUCGUAUCUUUCUUUUCGGUCACAUUUGAAAAUAAUUUUCUGGCUAUUGACAAAAAACGCUCUUAAUAGUUCUUAUUGGUGAUUAUUAAGACCGAGCCCCAGAAACAAUAUAAUAUGAUUUCAUUAUAACUUAUUUCAAUAUAUAACAUACUUGUAUUAACUUAAAUUAUAUGAUAUUGUGUUGACAGGGAGGGUGGGGGGUGUCGGUGACGGUUAUAAUCCUUGGCUUCAUUUUAUAUUUGAUUGUCUCUCCGCCCGUUUCCGUAUAUCAUUGUUUUACUACUAUAUUCGUUAUUGCGUGUGGUGCAGUCAUCCCGCUCCUUUGGAUAGCGUAGUUUAUAUUGUAUGUGGUGCAGUCGUAUUACCAGUCAAAGCACAACAACUACACCAUCAUUUCAAACAGCUGACUACCAUGUGAUAAUUUUUUUUUGUUCAAAGAUACAUUCUGUAAAAUUUUGAUAGAUAAUACAAAAGUUCUUAUAAUAUUUUUUAACAGGUUGACCACCAGGGAGAAAGCCCCCUACAUUGUCGUCUCCAUAUUUUACCUUUGUUCGGUUGAUAUUUUCGCAGAUAUUAACAUUAGACUGUUGUACAUUUAUAAUAAUAAAGUUGUAUUUAUUUCAAGCUACCAUGGUAAUAAUAUAAAGUUGUAUUUAUUUUAAGUUGCCAUGGUAUUAUAAAGUUGUAUUUAUUUUAAGUUGCCAUGGUAAUAUAAAGUUGUGUUUAUAUCAAGUUACCAUGGUAAUAUAAAGUUGUGUUUAUAUCAAGUUACCAUGGUAAUAUAAAGUUGUGCUUAUCCCAAGUUACCAUGGUAAUAUAAAUUUGUGUUUAUAUCAAGUUACCAUGGUAAUAUAAAGUUGUGUUUAUAUCAAGUUGCCAUGGUAAUAUAAAGUUGUGUUUAUGUCACGUUACCAUGGUAAUAUAAAGCUAUGUUUAUUUCAACCUACUUACCCCGUGAAAUGAUAUAAAUAUUUCAGCAAUAAUCUGUGAUAAAUAAUUUGAUGUGAUUUAUUUAAUUAAGUUUGUUACAUUUAAAUAUUAGUGAAAUCUGCGAAUUCCGUCCAUCCAUUUAGAUUGUAACACGAGAUAUGUAUUUUAAAUUAGAUAUGUAUUUUAAAUUAAAAAAUAAAACGUAAUAAUUUGUUGUUAAAUGCAGUAAAUACUCAGCAUACUCCGGCUCGUGCACGACACUUGUGGUUAACGGGGGGCGGCGUUUAAGGAAAUAAAAUAGAGUUUA